GAAAACAUUUUCUUCCUUCCCUGUUUCUGCAGGUGUAUCCUACUGGUUACUAUUGGGUUAGGUGUGCAACAGUAGCCUACCAUUGUGCUCACUACAAAUAAAACAUAAGGCUCUUGAAUCCUUCUGACACCUGUUACCAGUCUCAUUAGGAGGCAGAGGCCGUGGUUCGAUUUAUUUCUCAGUCAUUCAAAUAGAUACGUGGAGGAAUCGAUUUGACCAGUGUAGGAACUGAGACUCAAUAAUGCUAAUAAAGCGAAAGUAUUGACAUGGGUGCACCGAGCCAAGACAGCACAUGCCUGAAACAUCACACCAGAUUGUUCUGCAUGGAUCAGUCAGAGAAACUCAAAAGUGGGGCCCUUAUGUGUGUGGAGACAGGAGGCCUCAUUGUUCCUGUAACUGACCUUGUGAAAUGAUGAAUUAAAACCUGA
rnacentral:lncRNA from 1 species